rnacentral:lncRNA from 1 species
UAUGUUUUGUAUUCAGAUACACACACACGCACGCACACACACACACACACACACACACACACACACACACACACACACACAUACAUACACACACACACACACACACACACACACACACAGACAAAUAUGACUGAUAUAUAUUUAUAUAAAAAUGAAAUUAUAUGAGUGUCAGCUUUUAUUGCGCUUAUCUCAGCUGAAAAGACCCCGUAUGAUGCGUAGAUCAUGCGCUUCUCUGAUGUGUGUGACUCAAAUCAUUAGCUACAGUGGCAGUUUUAGGCAUGGGCGAACCUGGCAGCCGCCCGGGCGCCAUAUUUGUGGGUGGAGCAAAAUCACAGACGGAAUUACCCCCCCCACUGAUUAGCUAAUACAGAACAUGGGCUAAAUAAAUACGAUUAUGUCAUUCAUUUCCUGAAUAUCCAUGCAUAAAAAUCUCUCAAAAGUGAUGACAAAUAUAAAUAAUAUUGCUUCAGUAUUUAUUAAUGUUAUGGGAAGCCUUCAAAUGAAUCAUGUUACAAUUGUGCACCAAUAAUGAAUAACCCCUCCAACCAUUUGGCAGCUGAUUCUAUUAAUGAUGAAGUUAGCAGGAAACCUUAAGUUCCACUAUUUGAAAUAGAAAGAGGAAGCUGAGGUGUUUUGUCAGAAAAUGAAAAGCAGAUAAGUGACUUUCAACCCACUUGCAUAACAUGGGGGAUAUUCGCCUGGUAAGACGCAUUUCUGCUCUCUGUGUUUUACGCCAAUAUCUUGUGUCCUACUAGAAAGGGAACCGACACUUAUAAGGCACAGUAGACCAACUGUCUUGUCUGUUUACUGUAUUCUGUGGAAUUGUUCGGCUGUUGGAUGUUGUCUUUGUGAAAUGUAGUUGCCUUUCUAUUAACCACCAUGUCCGUCAACAACACCUGUCAAAACGGAAGCCUUUCACCGGGCUGCGCCCCGCAGCCGGCGGAGAGCUCGAUAGGCUUGGCCGUGGGCCUCAGCAUCUUCUUCCUGCUCCUCCUCCUCAUGGUGCCCAUCGUCUUCUACGUCUUGAAACGUUACCACAGUAACAUGUGGCGGCUGGACCGGGCCAGGCCCGGGAAGAGGGAGGACCCCGCGCAGAUCGAGCAGCAGCUGGCCGCCCAACGGUACAGCACCAUGGGCCGGGCGCCAGCCGGGGCAGAGCCAAGCCCCAUCUACGAAAACUACAGCGGCCAAACCUCCGCGGGCACAGCCUCCACGGGGGGGCCACACACGUCUCCCAGGGAACUCGAGGAAGAUUUAUACUAUCAGUGUGAUUCGGCCGAUGAUGCAAUAUACGGCAACGACCCAAACUUCAGCCUGGCCAUGCUAUCAGAGGACGGGGAGGACCCCUACAUCAUACCAGACACUCUAUGAGCCGCACGCAAACCCCUAAAUCACUCCCAUGCACACACAGGCGUACACAUACACUGCACACAUACACAUACACUGCACACAUACACAUACACAUACACAUACACUGCACACAUACGCUGCAUGUAUGCAUACACAGACACACGCACACACCCACACCCACACACACACAAACACACACACACACACACACACACACACACACACACACACACACACACACACACACACAUGCACACACACACACACACAUGCAACAUACAUAUAGACAUAGACAACAAAGCAUGAAUAAAUACAGACAUACACACACACAGAAAAUAUUUGUUGUUAUUGAUGUUUAAUGAAGUAAAUCACAAAUGUAAAAUGUAAAUAUACUCAAUUAAAGAGGUCCGUUGAACAAAAUGCUUUAUGUGUUAUAAAAAAAAACUAUGGACUUCACUCUUGGCGACAUGCAAGUAUUUAUAUUUAGACGAUCUUUUUUAAUCAUUAGUGCUGCCAUGAAUAAAUGCUGCUGGUUUUACUUCGCCACUUCUGCUUUUUGGAGAAACGGGGGCUUUCACCAUUUCGGUAAAUCCCACUAACUUUUUGUUAGUUUUAAUCUAUAUACUAUAAAUAUUUCUCUUAAGCGUUUACAUUUGCAUUGCAAGUUUUUGUUUACAACAAGAGACGUCCAGUAGGACCGUACUCCUGCCGAGAUAAAGUUAUGUAUUACAUGUACAUGUUUAAUUACAUAUAACUGACCGGUUAAGAUAAAGUUGGAAGUUAACCUGAAAUUGCUUUAUAUGCUUAUAUAUUAAUUAGAAUAAAUAACUAUAUAUUUGCAUACCGGUUCAUUAUUAAUAUUGAUUAAAUAGGCCUACUAAUACAUUACAAUAGAGCAAGGGAGAGAGGGCGAAAGAGAUUGAGAGACAGAGAGAGAGAAAGCGGGUGAGAAAUGGUUUGUAAUGUCUAAGCAUUACAGCAUAGCUGAUGAACAUUGGCAUAACACAUCCACCCACCAUCCACCACAACGAAGACAGCUAAUAAUAUUCCCUGAUCUCUGAUCACUACAAGGUCGUGACCAAAUUUUGAUUUUGGGACAUGCAUCACGUUUAGUAAACAGAAAGUGCAAAGUGCAAACUGCAAAGUAACAGACAUUUGAUAGGCUGUGGAAUACCGUAAGCAGAAUUUAGGGAAAACUAAGGCCGCCCAAUGCAAAUUUACUUAAUAUGGGCAACUAUAGUUGGGUUAAUAAAACCCAGCUACCUUGUGUACUUUUAUUUAUAAUCAAAAUAAUGAAUUUUACCGAAGUAAAAACAAGAACUCUUAUUUUUAUUUGUUUUGCUUCAUUUCCAAAUCUCUGCCCCCCAGUGGCAGAGGUUCCGGUACCGGCCUGCCGACCUAGAGAGGCUUGGAUUGUUAUCUAGCCCUAACCCUAAUUAUUUUAAACGUGUAUACUUUGGGUGGUACUGCAGCUCAGGAGCUUUCAAAGUGAAAGAUUGAAGACGUUUACAUCGGCCCUGCGUUGUUUAACCAGAAGGGAUGUCAUCCCCCGAAACAAAGAAACACACGAGUGGUUGUUACGGGACAGACAGAAACAAAGGAAGCAGCGAUCCGGGAACCGGUGAUCGUUUACCGUAAGAAAAGUUGAAUUACAGUAAACAACAGCGUCCCCUGCGUGAGAGUGAUGGCCUCUUAAUUGGCUGGCCUGUUGAUUCAAUCUCCCAGUCACUCAGUAUCCCACACCCUUUAAUAUGUCGUCUUUAUAAAUGGAGGAUCAACAAUCAUGCUGAAGCCUGACGGUGACCUUUGCCCAUACUUUGAUAAUGAAAAAAAAGGAAAUGCUUAUUUGGGAAGGGGGUGGUAUGGCUAAUAGGUUGCAUCAUUUUGGAAUUUGUUAGAGACCUGCCACCCAAUCAAUCAAUUGAAUUAGAAUAAAUAAAUACAUAUGUAACUAAAGUGUGCAUACCUGUUCAAUCAUUAAUAUUGAUCAAAUACUAAUAUAUUGUGCACGUACCAAUGUAGGCUAUAGGUAGGCCUAAGGGGUUGCCAGCUCUGGAAUGGUCUCUAGUUUUUAUGCCCUGAGAUAUAUGCAUUCUAUUUUGCAUGUUGUUACAGAUGGAUCGUGGAUACAGCGAUUUUACUGUGUCGAUUUAUAUACAUAUACUGUAUAUACAUCUAAAGUAAUUAUCAUAAUUUAUAAUAACUUAACUUAUCUAUGUAUCAUAUACCAUAAUAUCAUAACUUAUCUAUCCAACAUUCUUAAGUCAUCAUUAAAAACACAGACUCUGAUAAUAUGUAAUGAAAGUGCUUUUGCUGUAUCAUUGAAGAUAUGCAAUCUGAAUAGUGGGAGAAAUCAGUUUACACAGCAGCUGUCGUCGAUAAGUUUUGGAAAUUGAACUUGGUUCUUUCUCUUUGUCAAUUAAUAGUUAUGUUCAUUGGUUCAUCACUAGGUCAGGGCCAUUUAGAAAGACUUAAACUGUAAGACAUACAAUAUGUAGUAAAUCUAUGCGUAUAUACGUAUAAACAUAUAUAUAUAUAUAUACAUAUAUAUAUAUACAUAUAUAUAUAUAUACACACAUAGAUUUAUUUAUAGUACACAUAUAUCUUAUUUAUAGUAUAUAUAUAUAUAUAUAUAUAUAUAUAUAUAUAUAUAUAUAUAUAUAUAUAUAUAUUGAUAGAGAGUUAUAGUUGUUUAAAUAAUACCAAGUAUAUCUGUUGAAUGUAUUACAUUUAGGAAAGACAAAUAUUUAUUUCUGAAGUUAAAUUACGUAUAAUAACAGAUUUAAGGUUAAUGAAGAAUUGAGUAA